CCCACGGGAGAGAGCACUGCGGUCACCACGCCGCAGGGCCGCCGAAGGAGCAACCGCCCCGGAAACUCUCAGGCACCCAGAACCGUAGG
rnacentral:ncRNA from 1 species